AGGCACAUGUGUGCGGUGAUGGAUGGUAAUUAGUCUUUGGUUGGUGAAUGUGAUGUAAGCUGCACAGGACUCGAAAUAUAAUGUUGUACUCCUGAAAUUUAUAUAAUGUUAUAAACCAAUGUUACUGCAAUAAAAAAUAAGAAAUAGAUGAAAUGAAACUAAAAUUCAUGUUGUAAAAAAAUAUGAAACAAAAUAGAGCAUUUGAGUCUAAAAGAGGAGAAAGAAAGGACAGGCAAGGCAGAAAUAUGAAAGACAGUGAGACAAAAGUCAGAAAUCAUUGAAAAGUUCUCUUUGUUAAUGUUUCCUAUCUAUAAAGUGGCAACUGAGUUUUCCUGCUGAGGAUUUGGGUUCCCAUGAGCAUGGUUGCAGUUUUCUUAGGCCAACAGCUGAAGUGCAAGGAUUUUGCAAGGAGGAGUUUCACACCUUGUGCAGUUUUUCCUACUACUGUCCACCUGAACCCCUGGGAAGGAGGAAGGCUGGCAGCUUCUCUGACAAUCAGCCACCGCUUUUUCCUAUCAGUCCACAUGGACCCUUCUGUGCCUACUUCAUCAUCUGGACACCAGCCUCUGUUUUCCCUUCUACUCAGUGGCCUACUGCCCUCUCUUCCACAACUACUGAUUAACAUCUGCCAAAGGGGCAUCAGGAAAGUGAGAGUGCACAGAUUUUACAGGUUGAGAACGGUUGGACCCCUGGGACAGGUGUGCACUGUCCACCAUUCUAAGGCCCCACCUCCGCACACUCUGUCUUACACCCAGUGGCUUCAGUCAUUUAUGUAAGUUGCCUGGUUCCAGCGGGCACUGGAGUUUGGAGCUGCUGAUUCAUGGAAAGGAG
rnacentral:lncRNA from 1 species